ensembl:lncRNA
GAGAUCAUGUUCACCGAGUUUUGUGGCAAACGGGUGGAGUUCCUCAGAGGAGUAUAUCAAAUUCCAGAGCAUGCGUUUUUCACAAAACCCUAAAUAGCCAACUUCCUGUUGGGCGGAGCUUAUGACAUGCAGUGCGAAAGUUGUUUGGUUUGAUGAGAUCUACAUGUGUACCGAUUUUUGUGGCGAACGGGUGGAGUUCCUCAGAGGAGUAUAUCAAAUUCCAGAGCAUGUGUUUUUCACAAAACCCUAAAUAGCCAACUUCCUGUUGGGCGGAGCUUAUGACAUGCAGUGCGAAAGUUGUUUGGUUUGAUGAGAUCUACAUGUGUACCGAGUUUCAUAUGUAUACGUGCAAGUAUGGAUGAUAUAUGGCCCUCAAUAUUCCAGGGGGCGCUGUAGAGCCCCUGUGCCACGCCCGUGUACCAGUCUCUGCCCGGCCCUAAUGGCCGCAGAUUCCAAGGUGUGUGCCAAUUUUCAAGAGUUUUUGAGCAUGUUAAGGGCCCCAAAAGCCCCCGAAACCUUGGAAAAAAAUUAGAAGAAUAAAGAAAAAAAAAAAAAAAUAAUAAUAAUCCUAAGGAAAACAAUAGGGCUCUUCGCCCUCCAGGCUUGAGCCCUAAAAAAUAAUCCUAAGGAAAACAAUAGGGCUCUUCGCCCUCCAGGCUUGAGCCCUAAUAAAGC